CCUACGGGAGGCAGCAGUAGGGAAUCUUUCACAAUGGGCGCUAGCCUGAUGGAGCAACGCCGCGUGCAGGAUGAAGGCCUUCGGGUUGUUAACUGCUUUUAUAAUCGGGAUAUAGGAUGGUAAGUAUUGUAUAAGGAUCGUCUAACUUGGUGCCAGCAGCCGCAGUCAUACGUAGGAUCCGAGCAUUAUCCGGAGUGACUGGGUGUAAGGGGAGCGUAGACGGUGUAGCAAGUCUGAUGUGAAAGGUUGGGGCCCAACCGCGGGACUGCAUUGGAAACUGUUGAACUGGAGUACAGGAGAGGUAAGCGGAAUUCGUAGUGUAGCGGUGAAAUGCGUAGAUAUUAGGAGGAACACCAGUGGCGAAGGCAGCUUACUGGACUGUAACUGACGUUGAGGCUCGAAAGCGUGGGGAGCAAACAGGAUUAGAUACCCGUGUAGUC
rnacentral:rRNA from 1 species